rnacentral:pre_miRNA from 9 species
GAAGCUUCCAAUCUCCCUCAAAGGCUUCCAACAUACAUCCAUGACCGCUAUGGGAAUGGUGGAUGCCUUUGGGGGGAUUGAAGGCUU